rnacentral:rRNA from 1 species
GACGAACGCUGGCGGCGUGCUUAACACAUGCAAGUCGAACGGAAAGGCCCUGCUUUUGUGGGGUGCUCGAGUGGCGAACGGGUGAGUAACACGUGAGUAACCUGCCCUUGACUUUGGGAUAACUUCAGGAAACUGGGGCUAAUACCGGAUAGGAGCUCCUGCUGCAUGGUGGGGGUUGGAAAGUUUCGGCGGUUGGGGAUGGACUCGCGGCUUAUCAGCUUGUUGGUGGGGUAGUGGCUUACCAAGGCUUUGACGGGUAGCCGGCCUGAGAGGGUGACCGGCCACAUUGGGACUGAGAUGCGGCCCAGACUCCUACGGGAGGCAGCGGUGGGGAAUAGUGCACAAGGGGCGGAGGCCUGAUGCAGCAACGCCGCGUGCGGGAUGACGGCCUUCGGGUUGUAAACCGCUUUCGCCUGUGACGAAGCGUGAGUGACGGUAAUGGGUAAAGAAGCACCGGCUAACUACGUG